GCGGCGUUAGUUCAGUGGUAGAAUGUCUCCUUGCCAAGGAGAAGGUCAGCGGUCCAAAUCCGCUACGCCGCU
rfam:Microgenomates bacterium GW2011_GWC1_39_12 TT26_C0006, whole genome shotgun sequence.